UCCCAUAUAGUGUAGUGGUUUAGCAUACCAGAUUUUCACGUCUUUGCACAGCGUUGAAUAUCUUUCUGGGGACCCGGGUUCGAACCCCGGUAUGGGAA